UGGAAAUACUCCUUUGUGAGUGAUUUUACAUAGGCAUAGAGAAACUGAUUUUGCGGUCGUAUUCUCUAUGCUUUCAUAUACCA
rnacentral:antisense_RNA from 1 species